rnacentral:rRNA from 1 species
GAUUCCCCUGAAGGGCCGUCGAAGACUACGACGUUGAUAGGCUGGGUGUGUAAGUGCAGUAAUGCAUUGAGCUAACCAGUACUAAUUGCCCGUGCGGCUUGACCAU